UUAAGUUCAGCGGGUAUCCCUACCUGAUCCGAGGUCAAACGUUGAAAAAAGGCUUCAUGGACGCCGACGCAGAGGGGAGAGACGCAAAUUGUGCUGCGCUCUACCAUCAGUACGUUGGCCGCCAAUCGCUUUCAGACGAGUCCUUUGCAGGACAAACGCCCAACACCAAGCAGUGCUUGAGGGUACAAAAUGACGCUCGA
rnacentral:misc_RNA from 1 species